AUAUGAAUCUUGGGAUCUUGUUAUAAAGCAGCUUCUGAUUCAAUUGGUCCAACAGCCCAAGAUUCUGCAUUUCUAACAAGCUCCCAAGUGAUGCUGGU
rnacentral:pre_miRNA from 1 species